AUUGAACGCUGGCGGCAUGCUUUACACAUGCAAGUCGAACGGCAGCACGGACUUCGGUCUGGUGGCGAGUGGCGAACGGGUGAGUAAUACAUCGGAACGUACCCAGUAAUGGGGGAUAACUCGUCGAAAGAUUAGCUAAUACCGCAUACGCCCUACGGGGGAAAGAGGGGGAUCGCAAGACCUCUUGUUAUUGGAGCGGCCGAUUGCUGAUUAGCUAGUUGGUGUGGGAAGAGCCUACCAAGGCGACGAUCAGUAGAGGGUCUUAGAGGACGAUCCGCCACACUUGAACUAAGACACGGUGCAGAAUCCUACGGGAGGCAGCAGUGGGGAAUCUUGGGCAAUGGGCGAAAGCCUGAUCCAGCAAUGCCGCGUGCGUGAAGAAGGCCUUCGGGUUGUAAAGCGCUUUUGUCUGGAAGCAAAUCCUUGUGGCUAAUACCCACCGGGGAUGAGAGUACCAGAAGAAUAAGGACCGGCUAACUACGUGCCAGCCGCCGCAGUAA
rnacentral:rRNA from 1 species